ensembl:lncRNA
UGCUUUUAAAAAACUGACAUGUGAAAGCAUUUCAAACAGUCAUUUGUUACAUUGUUGUCACAUGACUGACUUACACUAUCAUAUCAGAUAUAAAUUUUGUUUAGAAAUGUCUUGACUGACUCAUUUACAUAAUAUCAAUUAAUAGUCAUGUGACUGUGAUGUGUCCCUCCCUCCAGCUCCUAUUGGCUCAGUAGAAGUGUCAAUCAUCUGCUCCUCCAGUGGGGUGAUGAGGGUGUUCUGCUCCUCUGAGGGGGAUCAUCUUCUCUACAGCUGGACUCUGAAUGGAGAUCCACUGAUGGAUGGAAACAGCAGCAUUGAUCUGGAUGAGGGAAGAGAUGGAGACAUCAGCUGCAGUGUGAAGAACCACGUCAGUCACGCACAGAAGACCAUUAGACUCAAACCCUGUCCUGGGCCAAAGACUGCAGCUGUGACUUCUAGUUUGACCUCUAGUGUGACCUCUAGUGUGACCUCUAAUGUGACCUCUGCAGUAACCAAUAGCUCACAGGCAUCAGAAAAUGUUUUGCUCUAUAUGAUUGCUUUUGGCUGCGUUGCUCUGAUCCCAAUUCUGCUGUUCAUCAUCAUAUGUUACGUUUACAAGAAAAAACAUCUGAAGUCAACACCAGCCGCUGCUGGAGAUACGGAGCUCAUAUACGCUAAUAUACCUAAGAGAAAGGAUGAAAAGAAGACAACAGAAUCGCUGCCAGCUGCUGAAGAGGAAUACGCCUCAGUCCGACCGCAGACAAAGAGGAAGAAGAAGAAGGAGGAGGAAGAGUAGUCCAGAACUGCGAGGUGACGUUCACUCCGAACCAUUCAGUCGCUCCACAGCAGCCUCAGGAGGAGUGUGUUUAUGCGCAGGCACAAAGACGCUAGUCUCACAAUAACAAGAUCGCACUUUACCUGGACCACCAAGUGCUUUUUUCACUUAUGUUCAAUAACUCAAUGAUCACGAAAACAGCAGAUUUUGAAUCAAUAAAACAUUUCAAAGCAGCUGAAGUUCA